rnacentral:misc_RNA from 1 species
UAUCCAAAUGAAAAAUGCCAUUAAAGAUUGGAGACUUGUAGAUUCUAUAAAUAGUUUUAUAGACAUCAACUAAAUGAUGCCACCCUAAAGUUAUAGGUUCUCAAAAUUGCUGUUAUAUUGAUCCAACGAAAAAAAAAUAACAUAGUUCAAGGAAAUAGUAAGUUAGAGAAUUAAGAUUGGCUUUGAUUAUUACAGAGUUAAAUCAAAAUUAUAGAAGCUUUUCAUAUAGCCUGCAAAAAUCUGCCUGAUCAUUUCUGUUAACUUCUCUUUGGAGCAUUACAAUAAAAUAGGGUUUUUGCAUAUCAUUGGAUUGGUG